AUGAUCCGGUUCAAAUUACAGGUCUUUGUCUACCCUACAUUGGUUACUGGAAAACAGGAUUUUAUCUUUCUCAAUAAUAAGAUCAGAACACCCAUGGGAAAUAAAGACCAAAAGGCCUCCAGUAUCUCUCCUGCCAUCACCCUACGCUCCACAUCAGGCUUGGAGACUUACACAGCCCUAUCAGGUAUUAUUUAUUCGCUUUCUUCAGAGGAAUCUCUUGUGAAACUAUCAGAGUCAAAAGACUAUGGAUAACUCACUUGUAAAGAUGUCACUUCUAUCCGUUUUGAUCUAUAGGUUCAAUCCAACCCCAAUCAAAAUAGAAGUUUUCGGUGCUGUUCAUCUGACAAGCUAAUUUUAAAAUCUAUAUGGAGGCAAAUAUAUAUGCAUUCUGACUUGUAUAUUCUGCAGAAUAUACAAAGAACAUCUUCAAACCAGUAAGAAAAGAAGAAUAGAUGGCAAAAUGGAAAGACAGGCAAAGGUUAAAAUAGGAUUCACAAAAGGGGGUAUCCUAAUUAUCAUCACCUAUUUGCAAGCACUGCUUAACUACCAUCAAUAAUCCCAGAAAUUCUCAUUAAAAACCACAUGAUAUAAUACGACACAAACUCUAUUAGCAAGUGUGGCUGAAGGUACAGAGAACAGGACCUCUCCUGCACUGCUGGAGGACGUGGAAUUUCUAUAACCACUUAGGAAAGUAUUCAGCAUUAUCUGCCAAAUAUGGACAUAUACAUGUCCUGUGACCAGAAUGCCCAUAGGUCCUAGUUUACACAAGGCAGACUCAACAUAUACCUAUUCUUCUGGUAUAAUGACUCCUGGUAACUCCUUUCCCUCUCAAAGUGUACUCGCUUGGAUGAUAAGUUUUAUUCUACCAGUAGCCUAGAUAUUUCACAAUGAGGUACAUACUCAACAUAAAGGUAUGCAUAUAUGGUACAAAAGACAUGAACAAGAAUGUUAACAGCAGCACUAUUCUCAAUCUCAAUAGACAAGUAUUGGCAGAAGCCCUAAUGUCCAUCACAGUAGGAUGAACAAAUAAUUCUUGGUAACUUAAUUCAAUAGAAUGUGAUUAACAGUCUCCUUUAAGCUGAUAAGGAGUCUGAAUGCAUACUAAAAUUUAUUUAUUUGCACUCUCCACAGCCCAUGUUUUGGUUUUGAUGAUAUAAUUUACAUUUUUUUAAUCUCAUGCAUCCAUUAACAAAUUAUUAUAGCUAUAUAUUUUUUUACUACUUUUGUUUCUUAACAUUCAUGUAGCUAUUAUUAGAUUAAUAAACAAUUCACCUACCACUGUUACA
rnacentral:lncRNA from 1 species